rnacentral:piRNA from 1 species
CAGCUUGAGGACAACGGCCUGAGUGCGU